rnacentral:rRNA from 1 species
CUGGCGGCGUGCCUAACACAUGCAAGUCGAGCGGGGACGAUUCGACGGACCGGAAGUUUCGGAGUGGAAGGGAAGAUGAAUGUUCUAGCGGCGGACGGGUGAGUAACGCGUGAGCAACCUGUCCUUCACAGGGGGAUAACACAGCGAAAGUUGUACUAAUACCGUAUAAGACCACGGCGGGGCAUCCCGAAGGGGUCAAAGGAGCAAUCCGGUGAAGGGUGGGCUCGCGUCCGAUUAGAUAGUUGGUGAGGUAACGGCCCACCAAGUCGACGAUCGGUAGCCGACCUGAGAGGGUGAUCGGCCACAUUGGGACUGAGACACGGCCCAAACUCCUACGGGAGGCAGCAGUGGGGAAUAUUGGGCAAUGGGGGGAAACCCUGACCCAGCAACGCCGCGUGAGGGAAGAAGGUUUUCGGAUCGUAAACCUCUGUCCUUGGUGAAGAGGAAGAGACGGUAGCCAAGGAGGAAGCCCCGGCUAACUACGUGCCAGCCGCUGC